AUGAACUGCUCGACAAAGGGAAUUGAAGUUGAUAAAGUCAGAAUUGAAGCUAUUGAGAGUUGGCGGCAGCUCAAAACGGUCACACAAGUGAGGAGUUUUUUUGGCCUCGCUGGUUUCUAUAGGUGUUUUGUGAGAGAUUUCAGCACCAUUGCUGCACCUCUCAACGAGCUUACAAAGAAGGACAUGCCUUUUGUUUGGGGUAUCGCACAGGAAGAAGCAUUCACGGUAUUGAAAGAUAAGUUGACACAUGCUCUUUUAUUCCAACUUCCUGAUUUUAAUAAGACUUUUGAGCUUGAAUGUGAUGCUAGUGUAAUUGGAUUAGGAGGUGUUAUUACAAGAUGA
rnacentral:rRNA from 1 species